rnacentral:rRNA from 1 species
AUACGAAAGGUGCAAGCGUUGUUCGGAUUUACUGGGCGUAAAGAGAGUGUAGGUGGUUUAUUAAGUCGGAUGUGAAAUCCCGGGGCUCAACCUCGGAACUGCAUUCGAUACUGAUAGGCUAGAGUUUGGGAGGGGUAAGCGGAAUUCCGUGUGUAGCAGUGAAAUGCGUAGAUAUACGGAGGAACACCUGAGGCGAAGGCGGCUUACUGGACCAAUACUGACACUGAGGCUCGAAAGCGUGGGUAGCAAACAGGAUUAGAAACCCCUGUAGUCC